rnacentral:lncRNA from 1 species
AAAAACCUAUAAACUUUCAAAGGCUCUCUCAUUUCUCUUCCCAUUUUCGUCGGACGCCACCUCCAUCAGAGAUCCCACGGUCCAUGGUCACCGACGGCACGGGCACGACUCCGGUAAGACCCCUCCUCCCUCUUUUAUACUUCGUAUUUGUAUUAAAUCCGAAUGAAAAGAGGAGAAAGAAAUGAAAAAAAUAAAGACAAAAAUAGAUUACAAGAAAUAAUCACCUUUCCAGUAUUCUCUUGUGUGCUUUCUAUUGAUUUUUUUUUCAAUGUAUUUUGUAUACAACUUGUGUUCUAUCUCUUCGAGAAAAAGGAAAAAGAAAGGAAAAAAAAAACCCCACCCACCAUCAUUAUUCGGGCUCUUUAUAGCUAAAAAUACAACCAACUUCUCUACUGUUUUUGCUAUCUCCUCAUAGGUAUGGCGACGUGGGGUAGUCGUGGGUGUGCCGAUGUAGAGAGUAGCGCACGAGUCGGAGGGGCAACGUAUGGCGCUUGGAAACUGACUUGGCUGCAGUGGCUGAAGCAUUUAGGACUAAGGUUUUCUGCUUGGGUAGUGUUUUUUAAUUUGGGCUUGAUUGAAUUGGGUUUAAGGGUUGGUAUUUGGGAUUGGGCCUAUGUAGUAUUUGGGCUGGGUAAAAUUUGGGCCCUACAGCUGCCCCUCUUUGCUCGUUGUCGUGUAACGAGAAUAGAGCAAAGAUUUUAAAUGGGUCAAUUUUGCCCGGUCUUGCCAAGGUUUGACUUCGUGAUGCUUCAUUUCUUCAGGUAACCUCACUUUAACCCAUUGCAUCUUCAGGGGUAUAGGAACUCGUUUCCAUCUGCUCCACUACUGCUUAGGAGAUAAGAUCUGCAAUUUUUAGCCUGUUACCCUACAGCUUAGGGGGUUAAGGCUCGUAUCUUCAACCUGCUCUCUUGCUACCUCAGAAAGAUAAAGCUGGUGGCUAAAAUCUGCUCCAUAGUCAAUACAUAGAGAUAGGACUCGCCAUUUUUGAUCUGCUUCAUAGCCGAUACAUGGAGAUAAGAUCUGUAAUUUUUAGCCUGUUACCCUACUGCUUAAGGGGUUAAGGCUCGUAUCUUCAACCUGCUCUCUUGCCAUCUUAGAGAGAUAAGGCCGGUGGCUAAAACCUGUUCCAUAGCCGAUACAUGGAGAUAAGACUCGCAAUUUCUGAUCUACUCCAUAGCCGAUACAUGGAGAUAAGAUCUGUAAUUUUCAGUCUGCUUCCUGCAACUUCAAGAACAUAAUACUUGUGGCUAAAAUCUGCUCCAUAGCCGAUACAUGGAGAUAAGACUCGCCAUUUCUGAUCUGCUCUAUAACCGAUGCAUGGAGAUAAGAUCUGUAAUUUACAGUCUGCUUCCUGCAACUUCAAGAAGAUAAGACUUGUGGCUAAAAUCUACUCCAUAGCCGAUACAUGGAGAUAAUACUUGCUAUUCUUUAUUUGCUCCAUAGCCGAUGCAUGGAGAUAAGAUCUGUAAUUUUCAGUCUGCUUCCUGCAACUUCAGGAAGAUAAGACCUGUAUCUUCAACCUGCUCUCUUGCUAUCUUAGAGAGAUAAGGCUGGUGGCUAAAAUCUGCUCCAUAGCCGAUAUAUGGAGAUAAGGCUUGACAUUUUCGAUCCACUCCAUAGCCAAUACAUGGAGAUAAGAUCUGUAACUUUCAUCGAUGUCGCUACAUUAUCCUCUGGGGCCCUGCGGACUCGAUUUCAUAUCUAUGUUUAUGCCAAAUGAUUAGAAUGCUAUGACUGAAAUGAAUCAGAUGCACCUAACCUAAUGUGUUAUGAAUGAUAUGAAUGUAGAAAUGAAAAUGAUUUCUUUUUUUUUUAAGUUUUAAGUAUCAUCACUCGUUAUUCAUUAGAGUUUUAUCACAUCGUAUUAUGCUGCCUUCCUGCUCGACUAGCGAAACCCAUAGAAACAACCCAUUUUGCUCAACUGGUUUGCCCCAUUUCAACUUCAAGGUCUAUUUCACUGUAUUUCUAGAACCUAAGAUUUGUACCAUCUUCAAAACUCCCUCUUCCAUCAAUUCGGUCUAUUACACCACUCCUCGGGCCCUAUGACCAGAUAUGUACGCCUGAUAUUUCAUUAGUGAAGAACAUUAUGAUCCCCUCUUAUGCUUUGGUUGUCACAACAUCCUGUUUUCUUAUUCAAUCAAUAUCUUUGACUGAAGAGAUAAUCCCAAUUUGAACACAAAUAUUCCACUCUUAAGCCGGGUAAGUUCUAAACGAAAGUCCUGUUUCAGGUUCUUAUACCAUUUAGAAACUUCUAGAGUAAUAUGCAAAACCUCUUUUGCAAAAGUGUUAUUAGUCCAUUAAUCAUUAUUUCAAUACAAGCACGUGAACAUAAAGAUAAAGAUUGUCAAAAUUGAAGUUUAUUAGGAACAAGAUUCAAGAAAAAUGGAUUAAUUACAGGAAGCAAAUAUUGCCAAAGUACAAAAAUAGUUAAAGAGGAACAAAAAUGAGCGCCUCAGAUAUCACAGCCUAAGCUCCUCCAUAUGAACUCCACGAGAACCAUUUUGAGCCUAUCAUAUGCCUAGGAGAUCUAGCGUAUUCUGUCGAUGCCCCAAGACAUGCGUACUUCCUCUUCAUUAAUUCCAGCAUAGCAAGACUACCUCCUACCCCAUCCUUGGUCAAAAUUUGAAUUGCCCUUUUCGGGUUUUCAAUUCAAAACCUCUUCGGUCUCAAUGCACUCUUUGUGGGUUUUCACCUCGGCCUUUCCCUUUUUUUUUCUUUUUUUUAAGCGCCCUUUGCGAGUUUUCACCUCUUAAGCGAAGUACUUCUUGACUGAAUCUGAAUUUACUGGAUUAGGCAGGCUCCUACCAUCUAGCUCAGUUAAUAUCAAUGCUCCUCCAGAAAAAGCUUAUUUACCACAUAAGGUCCUUCCCAGUUUAGCAUCCAUUUCCCUCUGAAAUCUUUUUGCAUAGGAAGAAUUAGCUUCAAUACCAAGUCCCCCUCCUGUUUGUUAUAAGCUCGCAUCAUUCGCCUCUGGUACAUUUGACCAUGACGAAUAGCCUUAAGUCUCUUUUCUUCAAUCAAGUUCAGCUGAUCAUAUCGGGACUGAAUCCAUUCUGCUUCGUCCAGCUUCAACUCUGAUAAAACCUGGAGAGAAGGAAUUUUGACUUCAAUGGGCAAAACUGCCUCCAUCCCAUAAACCAAUGAGUAAGGUGUUGCCCUAGUAGAAGUUCUGACAGAUGUUCGAUAGGCAUAAAGAGCAAAUGGUAACUUUUCAUGCCAAUCCUUAUAGGUCUCAGUCAUUUUCCCCACGAUCUUUUUGAUAUUCUUAUGAGCUGCCUCAAUUGCACCAUUCAUUUUUGGGCGAUAAGAUGACGAGUUGUGGUGUUUAAUCUUGAAUUGCCUGCAGACCUCUACUAUCACACUGUUAUUCAAAUUCAACGCGUUGUCAGAUAUGAUCCUUUCUGGCAUGCCAUAUCGACAUAUGAUCUCUUUCUUCAAGAACUUGCCGAAUGUCGACUUUGUGACGUUGGCAUAUGAAGCAGCCUCUAUCUACUUGGUGAAGUAAUCGAUGACCACAAAGAUGAAUCGAUACCCAUUAGAAGCCUUUGGUGAAAUCGGCCCUAUAACGUCCAUGCCCUACAUUGAAAAAGGCCACGGAGAAAUCAUGACAUGAAGGGGUGAAGGAGGCACGUGGAUCUUGUCACCAUAAAUUUGGCACUUAUGACAUUUCUUGGCAUAGCUGAUGCAAUCUCCUUCCAUUGUGGACCAAUAGUACCCGAAUCUCAUAAUCUGCAUGGCCAUUGUGAACCUAUUGGCAUGCGUCCCGCAGACACCCUCAUGGACCUCUUCCAGGAUUUUCUUAGCUUCAACAGCAUCAACACAUCUUAACAGUACCUGAUCUUUCUUCCUUUUAUACAGGAUUUCUCCAUCCAAGACAUAGUCACUGGCUAGCCUUCUCAAUAUUCUUUUAUCAUUUUUCGUUGCCUGGGUAGGAUAUCCACGAUUCCUCACAUGUCGUAAAAUAUCAUGAUACCAAGGAUAAUCAUCUCUUUCCUCUUCGUCGUCUAUAUUGUAACAAUGAGCUGGAGCCUCAUAUAUACUCAUCUGGAUCGGUUUCAUAUUCUCUCGUCCAUUUACUCUGAUCAUAGAAGCUAACGUAGCCAAGGCAUCUGCCAUCUGAUUUUCGUCUCGCGGGAAAUAAAAGAAAGUGAUAUCAUCAAACACCUUAAUUAGAUCCCGAAAUAGCUCUCGAUAGUUGAUCAACUUUGGGUCUCUUAUCUCCCACUCACCUUUGAGUUGAUAGAUCACCAGUGCAGAAUCCCCAUACACCUCUAACACCCUAAUUUUACGUUCGAUGGCUGUACAGAUUCCUAUGAUACAUGCUUCAUACUCUGUCAUAUUAUUUGUGCAAUCAAAAUCCAAUUUGCAAGUGAACGGAUAAUGAUCUCCAGCUGGGGAUAUCAAGACUACCCCAAUUCCAUUACCAACGGCAUUUGAUGCUCCGUCAAAAUUCAAUUUCCACGUAUAAUCUUCUGAGGUGUCCUCUUCGGUAAUUGCCACAUACAUUAGAUCUUCAUUUGAGAAAUCAAAGUUCAAAGGCUCAUAAUCUUCCAAAGCUCUGCUGGCUAGAAAAUCUGCUAUUGUACUCCCUUUCACAGCCUUUUGACUCACAUAAACUAUGUCGAAUUCAGAAAGCAGAAUUUCUAUCGGGUCAUCCUUCCACUCAAAGCAGUUGACUCCAUCAUGUACUUUAAAGGGUCCAAUUUUGAAAUUAACCAAGUUGUAUGAUACAACAGGUACUGCCUCAAUCUUCGAGUAGUCCAAACCAAAGCACAACAUAGUUUUUCAAUUGGCGAGUAUCUCAUUUCGCACUCAGUGAAUUUCUUAUUGAGGUAAUAUAUCACAUUUUUCUUCUUUCCUGUCUCAUCAGGUUGACCGAGCACACAUCCCAUUGAAUUGUCAAAUACUGUCAAAUACAAUAUCAAUGGCCUACCAGGGCUAGGUGGCAUUAGCACCGGGGAAUUAGACAAAUACUGUUUAAUAUUGUCAAAGCUUUUCUGGCACUCAUCAUCCCACUCACCUGGGUUGUGUUUCUUGAGAAGGCGAAAUAUAGGGUCACAUUUCUCAGUCAGCUGUGAAAUAAACCAGGCGAUAUAAUUUAGUCUUCCCAAGAAACCUCGAACUUCCUUUUGAGUGCGCGGCGGAGGUAAUUUUUGUAUAGCCUUGACUUUGUCGGGGUCGACCUCGAUUCCCUUUUCGCUGAUUAUGAAACCAAUCAGCUUCCCUGACCUAGCUCCAAAAGUAUAUUUUGUUGGAUUGAGCUUUAGCUGAAACUUCCUCAAUCUCAGGAACAAUUUCCUCAAAACCUGUAUGUACUCCUUUUCUGUUCGGGAUUUUGUGAUCAUGUCAUCGACGUAAACCUCAAUUUCCUUAUACAUCAUGUCGUGAAACAAGGUUACCAUGGCUCUUUAAUACGUUGCUCUGGCAUUCUUCAACCCGAAUGCCAUCACCCUAUAGCAAAAAGUCCCCCAUAAGGUUAUGAAUGUGGUCUUUUCUAUGUCUUCAGGAUGCAUCUUUAUCUGAUUGUACCUAGAGAAACCAUCCAUGAAGGAGAACAGUGAGUAACCUACCGUGUUGUCCACCAGAGUGUCGAUGUGAGGCAAGGGGAAGUUGUCCUUUGGGCUGGCCUUGUUUAAGUCCUUGUAAUCUACACACAUCCUCAUCCUUCCAUCUUUCUUAAGGACAGGGACGACGUUAGCUACCCAUUUUGAAUAAUUAACAACUUGUAAGAACCCGGCAUCAAAUUACUUUCUGACCUCUUCUCUUAUUUUUACUACAACAUCGGGUCUCAUCCUUCGAAGCUUCUGUUGAACAGGCUUGCACUCUUCUUUUAUGGGGACGCGAUGCACCGCAAUAUCAGCGCUUAGCCCAGGCAUGUCUUGAUUUGACCACACGAAGAUAUCCUUGAACUCUUGCAGUAAAUCAAUGAGGUCCCGUCUUGUUUCCUCAGUUAUGCAAGUUCUAAUGUUCACCUCUUUCCUCUCUUCCAAGGUCACACUCUCGAUUGUCUCUUUAUAGGGUAGAAUCAGUUUCUCUUCCUGUUCUGCCAUCCUUAACAAAUCUGAAGGUAAGCUACAGUCUUCAUCAUCUUCAAAAUCCUGAGAUCCCUCCAGACACACGUCUCGCUCAAAAAGGAACUCCGGGUUUGUAACAGCGUCACUCAUGCCAUUGAUAUCUAGAGACCUAUUGUAGGCACGAAAGAAUAUCCAACAAAUAAAUGAACCUAAGUAUAGCUUUAUUUGUAUGGUAUGAUUAUAAACGAAAUGUAAGAAAAGAAAAUUUAUUUAAGAUAAAAGAAUAAUUGCUCAGAAUAAGACAUAAAAGUGCAUUUAUAUUGAAAUAAACGUUUUGAAAAUGAACCUAUUUCACAAAAGAUUUUUAUUGCUUCUAAGCUUUUAAAACAACAAGUGUGUUUUGAAUAUUACUCUAUAUUAGCACUAAAAACUACUGAAAUUUCCUCCGCAGUCUAGUUGUUCAGAAUACUUCCAGGCUCAUAAGGGCGAAUGCCUGCUAAGUCAUGUUUUAUCACUUUCUCUUCAGAUAUGACAUUGAUAUUCAAAUUUUCAAUUGCGUCUUCAACAGUUUCCUCUCUUGUCAUCUUUAAUUCAGGAUAAAUAACUCCACCCUACACAAAUGUAUAAGAUAUAUGGGGAAAAGUCAUUGAUUCCCACUCGACUUCUGCCCCAUUCAGUCGUACUCUUUGUCUCUUCUGCUUCCUUUCCAUCUCCUUUCUUUUCUACUUUGCAUCUGGCCUAUACCCUAAGCCAAAGCGAUCUUGUUUGUCAGCCAAAACUGGCACCUCAACUCAUCCAUGAAGAUACUUUCCAAGUCCUCUUCCAGACAAUACUCUCUUUCCCACUGUUAAUUGCAAGCUUAUCCUCGUAGCCUUAGAUAUUCUUGGCAUUGGGACCCUGCCCCAUUCAAUAAUGAAAGUUGCAUUUACAAACUCCAAUGACCGAAAGGAACACUCAAUUUCUUCAUCAUCAUUUUCUAUAUACGGUGCACUACUAGUAACGGAUGCAAUAAUGUCCUCCUCAGCAUUUAUCGUUAUCAAAUGGCCCUCCUUCACCAGCUUUAACUUUUGGUGCAACGAUGACGGUACUGCCCCUGCCGAGCGACUCCAAGGCCUCUCCAACAAGCAAUUAUAAGAAGGCGUAAUAUCCAUUACAAGAAAAUCUACCUCAUAUGUGUUUGGUCCGAUUAGCAGAGGUACCUCAAUCCUUCCCAUCACUUUCCUCUCAGUGCCAUCAAAUGCCCUCACUAUGUUCUGGCAUGUCUUCAUAUGAGAGCUGUCAAUUGGUAACCUAUUUAAUGUGGACAAGGGAAAAACAUUCAGUGCUGACCCAUUAUCAAUUAAUACCCCCGGUAGUGUAUACCCUUUGCAACGAGUGGUGAUGUGUAAAGCCUUGGUGGAUCCCAUACCCCCUAGUGGUAUUUCAUUGUCACAGAAGAAGAUGAAGUUAUCGGCGCUUAUGUUACUGAUAAGGCAGUCUAGCUUGUUCACUGAAAUAUCUUCAGUGACAUAGAUCUCGUUCAACACCUUCAUCAAUGCAUUUUGGUGAACUUCCGAGUUUUGAAGCAGAGCUAGUACUGAUGUGUGUGCCGGCUGCUUGUGCAACUGUUCUACAACACUAUACUCACUAUGUUUUAGGAACUUCAAAAAUUAUUUAGCUUCAUCUUCAGUUACUGGUUCAUUAACCAGUGGUUUUGUCCUCUCUUUCCCUUGUUCAAUCAUCACGGACUUCCCUUUUCCAAGCUCGACCUUUGUACUUGGCAUGCUGACCAGACUCUCCUCCCCUGGAUAUGUCACAUUACAGUUGUAAUUCCAAGGCACCCUUUUGUUAUCCUUAUAUAGAAAAGCCACGGGUCUCUGGAUUACAACUCUCAGUGUAAUUUUUGCUCCAACUUCAUUAAUUUUCGGUCGCGAAAUGAUCACCACUGGGUGAUUGACCUCAGUAACCUUCUCUGUCAACCCCUCCUCCGAGGAACAUACAUCUUCUUUCUCAGUAAACUCAAAGAACUCCAGUUCUUUGUUGUCCACUAAAGCCUGUACCAAGGCCCUAAAUUUAUUACAUUCUUCUAUCUCAUGGUCCUCCUCUCCAUGGAACUCAUAAUAGUUCCAUGCUUCUCGGGAUUUGCUCCCAAAGUCUUGCAUGACUAGACCUUUCUCCACUAUCUUCUUCAAAACUUCCCUCAUCGAGGUUCUCACUUCUGCCACAUCCAACUUAAUUCUCCUCCCCAUAUUAUUGAUUAUUGCGUUUACCCCCUUAUCAGUAUGAUUGGGUAAUGGAUUUCCUACACCAGGUGUAUCAUCAAAUUUCACAAUACCCAUAUUGAUGAGCCUUUCGACUACCCUUUUAAAAGAGGUUCAAUUCUCUAUCGAGUGUCCCGCGAUUCCAGCAUGAUAUUCACAUUGAGCACUUGCAUCAUACCACUUGGGGUAUGGAGGUUGUAGUGGUUUUAAAUAAAAAGGAGAUACGACGUGUGCAUCAAACAAACUUUUGUACAGCUCCCGACACGUUACUGGAAUGGGAGUAAACUGGGGCUUCUCCGUGUUUUGCUUUGUAUUGGGCUCCUGUCUUGGCGAAGCUUGCUGGCCCGUGGCUACCACUUUCAGUUGAUUUACCAUGAUUGGUUUCGCAUAACCCAUAUUCACAUUGCUGACUUCAUUUUCUUUCUUUUUUGGGGCUGACCUCCUGGUGCUUUCCCCUGCCUCUCUCUUGUCGCACCUUAUUGCAUUCUCAAUCAUUUCACCAGACAUAACUAUAUCCGCAAAACUCUUAGUUACGCUUCCCAACAUGUGAUUAAUAAAAUGUGCCUUCAAGGUAUUAAUGAAAAGUAUGGUUGUUUCAUUUUCCAACAGUGGGGGUUGGACUUGUGUAGCAAUAUACCUCUAUCUCUAAGCGUAUUGCUUGAAAAUUUCAUUCGACUUCUUCUCCAUGUUUUGUAAUGUUAUCCUAUCAGGCGCUAUGUCAGUCACAUGGCCAUAUUGUUUCAUGAAGGCCUGCGCUAAGUCUUUCCAUGAUUUGACUUAGGUACGACUUAAUUGAUUGUACCACUUAGUCACAGCCCCAGCUAAACUGUCCCAGAAACAGUGGAUCAAUAACUGAACCAUAGCCCAAAACAAGUACUUGUCCACCUUGAUAUCGAGCAGGUAGGGUAAGUCACCAUAACUUUGAUAGAAUAACUGUUUGGUCUCAUCCUCCCAAUGAGCCCAUAUAUCCCCCAAUUCCUAGAACUCAUUUUGGGUCACGUUGAUGCGAGUAAAGCCCGACAACCCCGAUGUAUACCCCUCAGCUAGGCUAUCUCAUUUCUCAAGUUGCAUCUUCUCUGACCACAUACAAACAGCCGUAUUAUCCUCUACUUUAUCAAGGAAUUUGCUCCCCAUAACAAGCUUUCUAAUUUAGCAACCGAACAGGAAUCGACACCUCUUUAAUAUGAAAUGACAUGCAAAACAUAAUCACAACAAAACGCAACAAGUUAGUAUCAAAAAAUAAAAUCUAAACAAAUAGAAAAUAAUUAAACACCUAACUGGGUAAUCAGUAGAGUUCAACAUAGCUCUACUUAGGGCGGGCUCUUAGAGUUCACUAUAUGCAGCUCGAUUCUAAGAAAAUAGUACCUGAACUAGCAGAUUCCUCAACCCUCACCCAUUAUAGGCUCAUGCAGAUCGAGUUCAGUUCAGGGGAAUACAUUUCCCUACGGCUAUGCAGAGGUGAAAACCUCACGAAGACAUAGGUACGAUGUAUCCCGGAAGCAGUCCACUAGUCCAUGCGGAGGUGAAAACCUCACGAAGGCAUAGUUUCUCACUCCCACUUAAAAAGGUGCGACCAUAACGGUCAUGCAAGAUGAUGCGAAGGGAUAUAAAAAACUCAAAAUGUAAAACACAAAUAAAAUGACCAAAAACCAUAAAACCCAUGAAAUGCAAUAAAAGGAUCGUAUGUUAAAAUCUAAAUUUUAAAUUUUCCACAAAAAGACAGAAAAUAAUCAAUUUUACGGCUUGACUCUCUUAUUAGUCCCUAGCGGAGUCGCCAAGCUGUUGAAACCAUUUUUAAAGAGUUUUGAAAAAAACGGGAAUCGACUUUUAAAACGAAAGUUUGGAGUCGCCACCAAUCUUUUUUGAUUUAGGUGUGAUCGGAUCACUUUGAGGUUGAUCAUUUUAAUACAACAUUUGAUUUAUUAAAACAAUAAUUUUAAGUCUACAAAAGUUGAGAAAAAGGGUUCGGGAGUCAAUUACGCACAAGGAAAGGUUAGCACCCUCGUAGCGCCCAAAAUUGGUACCAAUUGAUUAUUUAAUGUCCUAUCGUUGAAAACUUAAGGAAAAAUGCCAAAAUACGAUUCCUUUAAAAAUGUGUGAUAACUGAAAUUGGAUUUCAAGAUUCACUCGUUUCAAAGAAAUAAAAUACCACAUCCAGCACGUUAGGACAUGAUAUUUUAAGCCUCCAAAAAUUGAGAUCGCCUCAAAAUUUCCCAAAACACGUAACAAACUCUUAAAAGGGUACUCCGUUAUUUGACAAAACUGAAAAAAUGAAACCCAACACGUUAGGGCACGAUUUCCCGAAUUUCCCAAACAUGAAACAUUGCCUUGUUUUGAAAAAGUUUCCCAAAUAAGCAAUUAUAAAAUCAGCUCAAAAUAUAUUCGCUUGGGUUACUUUAGGUUAAAAAGCAGUAAUAUGACAUGGAUAGAUAAUGAGAAAAAUACAAAGGAUUAGGAUACAUGUAAAAGCGACAUACCAUAUAUUAAAAAAAACCAAUAUUCACAUUUGAAGGCUAACGAAUUAAAAGCAAAUUUAAAGAAGUUCCAAGCAAAUUAACACAGACAAUAUGUGGCAAGUUUUAAAACUAACAAACAAAUAAGUGACAUAGAAGAAAUGCAAUUUGGAAUUAUCAAUAUGUAAACAACCAAACAUAUAUACAAAUCUUAAAGUAGCAUACAUGAAAGUUCGAAAUAGAUAAAAAAUAAUUAAAUAAAAAUCAUAUAUGAGAUAAUAAUAUUUGAAUGAAAUUUCAAAAGACAAUGUAUAUAUAAAGAAAAGUGAAUAACAUAUAACAUAGUAUUUGUCAAUCUAAAUAAAUAAUAUACAUUAAAAUGGAAAUUUUAUAUAUAAAAACAAAGAUACUAGCAUAUGAAAAUAUUCAAAAUCGAUAUAAUAUACCAUUUAAAAUAGGAUCCUUGGAAGAAGAUAUACAUACAUAAAAUAAUAUAAAAUCAAUAAUAUAUAUAUGCAUAUAAAGAGAAAAUAUAAAAAAAAAUUUAAAGGAAAUAUUUACGUAAAAUAAUAGGAAAUCAAUAAUGCAUACUUAGAGUAAAAAAAAAUAUAAGUUAUGUAUAUACAUGUAUAAUGGUAUUGAAUUGGACAUCUAUAGAUCUUUAAAUAUAGGAAUAUAUGAAAUAAAGAAAACUUAAUAUAAAUAAAAUAAUAAACACUAAAAAUAUAUGAAAGUGUUUGGGGUAAACGUAUAUAUAUGUAUAUUAAUGUGGAAAAAUAAAUGUCAUAUAAAUCCCUAAGGUAUAAAACUAUAUAAAAGAGUUUUAAAUCCAAUAAGUCAUAUAAUAAAUCAAAGUAAAAAAAAACCUUACCUAAAUAUAAUUAAUUAAAAACAGUACAUAAUAAAAUAAUAUAUGAAAAAGAUGAAUAGUAAAAUAAAAAAAUAAAAAAAAGUAAACUUAAUUGAAAAAAAGUUAAAAUCAAAGGAUAAUUAAUAAAUAAAAUAAAUCAUGGAAAAUGAAAUAAGGAUCGUAGCGCAAUGCGCUCAAAUGCGCAGGGACCAAAAACGAAAUUAUUCCCAGCUUCAAAACGCAACAUUUCAAUGCGGACUAAAGUGAACAAAUGCGCCAAUUUCAGGGGAAAAACUUAAAAAAACAAAGAACAUAGGGAAAGAUCAAAUUGAAUGCAAGCGCGAAGGAGAAUGACUGAUUGUGCCAAUUCCCCAUUUUGAGCCAAAAGGCAUGGGUCCAGCACCAAACGGUGCUAUUUUAAUUUGCUAUUAAAAUCACUUUUUUGUUUUAAACAUCAUUUUCACCUUUGCAUCUUUUUAAAAAAAAAACCUAUAAACUUUCAAAGGCUCUCUCAUUUCUCUUCCCAUUUUCGUCGGACGCCACCUCCAUCAGAGAUCCCACGGUCCAUGGUCACCGACGGCACGGGCACGACUCCGGUAAGACCCCUCCUCCCUCUUUUAUACUUCGUAUUUGUAUUAAAUCCGAAUGAAAAGAGGAGAAAGAAAUGAAAAAAAUAAAGACAAAAAUAGAUUACAAGAAAUAAUCACCUUUCCAGUAUUCUCUUGUGUGCUUUCUAUUGAUUUUUUUUUCAAUGUAUUUUGUAUACAACUUGUGUUCUAUCUCUUCGAGAAAAAGGAAAAAGAAAGGAAAAAAAAACCCCACCCACCAUCAUUAUUCGGGCUCUUUAUAGCUAAAAAUACAACCAACUUCUCUACUGUUUUUGCUAUCUCCUCAUAGGUAUGGCGACGUGGGGUAGUCGUGGGCGUGCCGAUGUAGAGAGUAGCGCACGAGUCGGAGGGGCAACGUAUGGCGCUUGGAAACUGACUUGGCUGCAGUGGCUGAAGCAUUUAGAACUAAGGUUUUCUGGUAGUGUUUUUUAAUUUGGGCUUGAUUGAAUUGGGUUUAAGGGUUGGUAUUUGGGAUUGGGCCUGUGUAGUAUUUGGGCUGGGCAAAAUUUGGGCCCUACAUAUGUUAUGUAUUACAAACUUAUAAAAUUUAUAUACAUAUUAAAAAAUUCAAUAAAAAAUCAUUUAUACA